rnacentral:misc_RNA from 1 species
AGUUGAGUUGAGUAUUAAAGUUAUUUUUGUCCAUUCAUAAGUUAACUCUCUAAUUUGUUCUUAUAUACAUAUAUAUAUAUAUUGUUAGAAGUGGUGAAAUACAAAAUUAGAUUACUCAUGGAGAAGCCUUUAUUUCUCAGUGAGAAAUGAAUUCUUAACUGAUAAAAUGCCAUUGUUCAUUGAGAAAUUAAUGCAGCAUUACAUUGAGUUACUGAAUCAUAAAAUUUUGUUGCUAAAUGUGACUGUGUAUCUCAUUAUAGUUAGUACUUGAAAUUGAAUAACCAUCUAGAAACUUGUUGGCCAUUGAAAUGCUUAAAUUUAUUUUGCUUUUCUUUGUUUGUUUUGAGUUGCAUUACUGAAGGCUGGAAUUAACAGCCAUUAACAGUUUUAGGCAUUUAUAAUAAUUAAAUGUUUUCAAAUUUAUCAUGCUUUGUUAGGCGUUUAUCCAAGCUUGAAAUGU